AUUACAUAUAAUUGUUUCUAGAAAAUAUUUUGGAAUAACGUUAAGUGACGCUAAAUCAUGCCACGAAAGGAUAUUUUCACUUGCACCUGUAUUCGGGAGUGCUCUCAUAUAUUGUAAGACGGGGAGUGGAGUGCUUAAUGGAUGAUGUACUAUUAACAAUGCUUGAGGCUGUUUCUACAGGGCUAGAAUUUCUCGUUGUCCUUGAGUGAGAUUUGGAUUCUGAAUCAUAAUUCUGAUCAUCUACAA
rnacentral:lncRNA from 1 species